GAAAAUUUCAAAUGUCUAAUAUGAUGAUGAGAGCUUGAAUCAACAAGGAGUCCUUGAACUGGCUAGCUGUAUGAUAACCAUCUAAGGCACAUCAGCAGCCCCCAACCCAGCACAGAGAGAUUCCAGAUCGUGUUAUGUCACUUCCACUGGAAAUUUUCUUAUUAGAAGACUUCCUGAUCCAUGUGCUAAAGAGGAUGAAACUCUGUGAUUGAUUGAUUUAACUGUGUGGAAUCCCACAUAGCAAAUCUUAAAAUAGAAGUGGAAAACCAUCCUGGGGAAUUCAAGACAGUCAAUGCGAUUUAUCAUUCAUAAAGGAUACCUUUAAUGAGUUGCUCUGCAGACACUGGCAGAGUUGUAGCUAUAGCCGGGAUCGGAGUGAAGAAGAAAUUUCUGUCUUGUGUUCUUGACACACAUGGCAGAAGCAAAUGAAAAGGCCCAAAGGGUGUCUUCCUUUCACUUUCAGUUCACAAUACAGUAGCUGCCCUUGCCUAUGAGUUCCGUCCAAUAUAAGCUUAAACUCCGGCCCCGGCAAUGGGCUAGCUGAG
rnacentral:lncRNA from 1 species